rnacentral:tRNA from 1 species
CCGCCAUUAGCUCAUCAGGAUAGAGCGGGAGCUUUCUAAGCUCCAGGUAUGGGGUUCAAGUCCUCGAUGGCGGACCA